rnacentral:rRNA from 1 species
UGGCUCAGAGCGAACGCUGGCGGCAGGCUUAACACAUGCAAGUCGAGCGCCUGUAGCAAUACAGGAGCGGCAGACGGGUGAGUAACACGUGGGAACGUGCCUUUUGGUUCGGAAUAACUCAGGGAAACUUGAGCUAAUACCGAAUAAGCCCUUCGGGGGAAAGAUUUAUCGCCGAAAGAUCGGCCCGCGUAAGAUUAGCUAGUUGGUGAGGUAAUGGCUCACCAAGGCUACGAUCUUUAGCUGGUCUGAGAGGAUGAUCAGCCACACUGGGACUGAGACACGGCCCAGACUCCUACGGGAGGCAGCAGUGGGGAAUAUUGGACAAUGGGCGCAAGCCUGAUCCAGCCAUGCCGCGUGAGUGAUGAAGGCCUUAGGGUUGUAAAGCUCUUUUAGCAGGGACGAUAAUGACGGUACCUGCAGAAAAAGCCCCGGCCAACUUCGUG